UUCCUACGGGACGCAGCAGUGGGGGAUAUUGCACAAUGGGGGGAACCCUGAUGCAGCGACGCCGCGUGGGGGAAGAAGCGCCUCGGCGCGUAAAGCCCUGUCAGCAGGGAAGAAAAUGACGGUACCUGAAGAAGAAGCCCCGGCUAACUACGUGCCAGCAGCCGCGGGAAUACGUAGGGGGCGAGCGUUAUCCGGCUUUACUGGGUGUAAAGGGGGCGCAGGCGGCGGUGCAAGCCAGGUGUGA
rnacentral:rRNA from 1 species